AUUUUGCACAGCCUAUCUAUUUACCCAGUUUUUAUUUUUACACUGAACAAUUCCUUUAAAGGUCAAAUAGGGUAGAAUUUGGGCAGAACACUUUUUUGCUGCCCGUAAUACAACAGCUUUAUUAUGAGCUAUGGGGAAGGGUGCCAUACAAAUACUGAACUUAAAAUUAGGGUUUGAAAUAGCAACUGGAGCAUAAUUCUCCCCCACACCCUAUUCCACCAUCAGUGUGUAUUUGCUUGGCAUGUGCUUUGUACUUACUACCCAGGAAGCAACAUAUUUGUUUUGUACCAUUUACUGGACAUUGGUCACCAAGAAAGGGAGAAAGGGAUUGUGCUCAAGGGUUUUUUGCUGUUAAAUACUUAUGUAAUGACACCUUAGGUAAUAAAUCCAGAUCUCAGAGUGUUAUUUUGUUUCUUGGGCAGUUAUGGUGCAAUUGUCACACCCAGAGGAGAACAGCUUGGCAAGGCUGCAGGAGGUGGUAGAACUGCAACUGGCAUGUGGUACCUGCUGCUGGAAGAAAUAUCUUGUUACAUACACCCUGGUUCCGUGCCAGCAUACUUGUGGUGCUCAACUUCUCUUGGCUAAAUCUAAGAGUGCCAGGGAGGAGUGGUAUGAGAUCAGACGAUUCCCCGUAUUACCUAUGCCAGCCCGAUAUGAGGUGUGUUGGCAUUACCCGUCGAGAACUGGGUGCAUUCGGCACCAUCAGAAUUGCACCUUCUCCUGGAAUGAGCAAGAGACGUUGAUCUGGUCCUUUGAACGGAAACAUAUUUGGAAAGGAGCCAACUGCGGGCACUUCUGCAGCCCACCCAAUACUCUGACACUGUCCUCCAUGUCCCCAGCAGCUGGCAGGACAUCUUUAAUGAAUAUGGAGUGCAGUUCCAGUAAGUGUGUGAGCAGUGCUUUUAUCAGAGUACCCCCAUGGUCACCCUGAGAUCAUUGGGCCAAUCUCACCCCCGGCCUAUGCCCCUCCUGAUGCACAUUCUGAUUUAUGAGACUAAGAAGCAGUGCAAUCCUAUCCACCACAUGCCAAGCUCCCAGCACAUAUGCCUCUGCAGCCAGUCCUCCCGUGGGCUCAUUUGCAGGACAGCAGUGCCCUAAAGCACACAGUGAGGUGGAACUGGCUGUUUGGAGGGCAGAGUGGGAUGCUGGACUUACCCGGGAGGAGCUAUUCGGGCAAGGUACAAUAAAUAUGGGUUUCUACUGCUGUUUGUGCCGAGUCAGUGCCAUCUCCAAGGAGAGCUUUGAGAUGCACUGCUCCAGCCUGGAACAUGGCAGAAUGAUGGCAUCAGAUUCACUAAGUAUGUGGAAUUACCGAGCUCCCCCUCUGGGCAAAGACAGCUUCACCCUGUGCAACAGAUAGCCUUUCUGGUUCCAUGAUUCAAGAAGGCUUUGAGCUGGCUACAGCAAAAAGGGCCAAGGAGUGCCAGGAGUUUGAGAAGUGCUUGGCAGAGAUGGAAGUUUAAAAGAGCCUUUUGGAAGAAGAGACCCGAAAGCAACGGGAAGAGGAAGAAGAUCAAUCAGCUGAGGCAAGAGCUGGUGCACAAGGCACAGCCUAUCAGGAAGUUCAAAGCUGUGGAAGUUAAAACCAGUGACGUCCCACUUACUGUCCCCACAUCCCCUAACUUCUCAGACAGGUUUAAGUGCUGAUGUGCUCCCUGUACUAAGGCAAAUCCAGAUUUCGGGUGGUGGUUACCUAUUCAUGCCCUGGACCAUACAGUCUAUUGUACAAACAAGUGUCCUUUAAAUAGUGGCAUGAAUCCGUGCACAGCUCUGCUCAUUGGGGGGUUUAUGUAAAUACUAUAUUAUAUGGCCUGGAGGGGACUGUUUUUAGGUCUCCCUGUAUGCGAAUACUUAUGCUUUUAUUAUGCCCUGUAAUAAACUGUAGAAAUGUAAAGUUUGUCAAUUGCCUGAUUAACUUUUGUCUUGGGUUUGUCUGGUUCCUUCCAUCAGUCAACUGCACAUGUAGCCAUGUUAGUCACGUAUCUAAGGGAGCUUGUUUUUCCCGAUGCAGCUCAGGUAGUGUGAUGGGCAGUUGCAUCCAGUAAGAGCCAGCGCAGUGUGGCUUUCAGUAGUGCUGCACAUGGUCUGCCUCUUGUAGGGGGAUGCCUUAUAUAUGACAUAUCUUCCAUACCUCCCUAAGAUGCAGAUAACCUAAUGAAUGACCUAGAAUUCAGCCCACAUGCCUUUCUAUGAUGUACCCCACUUUGAGAGAAUUGCAUUGUCCUGCUCUUAUAUCUGAACAGAAGGUACCAGAAGGCUUUUAUCUGGCACACACACACAAUUCAUCUGGGGCAUAUAAAGCAGAGGAGGUGUCAUCCCUGGGAACUUGAUGGGUUGGUGCGAACUUUCUGCUUGGAAAGGUCACUACCUGUGAAAUAGAACGUGAAGCUCUGGGGCACAAUUAG